UCAGCUCUGUUUGAAACCAAUUCCGCAAUAAUAUACAAAAAUUGUAAAUCAUUCUAUACUACUUCCUUCCACGUCAUAUUUAAGUCUCCUCCUUUCCCUUCUCACUCCUUGCACCACUAACUUAUCACACUUCUGUGCUAGGACAUUUGAUGCUCUACAUUGUUCAUGCAAGUUUCCCAAAACCAAAAUUUUAAACCAGAAUAGCAUUUUUUUAUUAAGAGAAGAAAUAUUUAAGGAGAAAGAUCCGAGAAAACAAGUCAAGGAUAAGGUAUUUCCUAAACUAAGCAACAAGAAGGAUAUGUGUUUAAUAAAGUAAUGCCUCCAUAAUACUAUAUAGUACUUAAAGACACUCCUCUAAAAGCCCCAACAGCAGAAGCUCACAAAGAAGCCAAGAAAACGACCUUGUCAGUUAACAGAUUAAACAGAAUAUCAAAAUAAC
rnacentral:misc_RNA from 1 species